rnacentral:rRNA from 1 species
CCUACGGGAGGCAGCAGUGGGGAAUCUUGCGCAAUGGGCGAAAGCCUGACGCAGCAACGCCGCGUGCGGGAAGAAGGCUUUCGGGCUGUAAACCGCUUUCAGCAGGAACGAAAAUGACGGUACCUGCAGAAGAAGGAGCGGCCAACUAUGUGCCAGCAGCCGCGGUGAUACAUAGGCUUCAAGCGUUGUCCGGAUUUAUUGGGCGUAAAGAGUUCGUAGGCGGUCGAGUAAGUCGGGUGUGAAAAUUCUGGGCUCAACCCAGAGACGCCACCCGAUACUGCUUGACUUGAGUUCGAUAGGGGAGUGGGGAAUUCCUAGUGUAGCGGUGAAAUGCGCAGAUAUUAGGAGGAACACCGGUGGCGAAGGCGCCACUCUGGAUCGAUACUGACGCUGAGGAACGAAAGCAUGGGUAGCAAACAGGAUUAGAUACCCUGGUAGUCCAUGCCGUAAACGGUGGGCACUAGGUGUGGGAUUCUAUUAACGAAUUCCGCGCCGUCGCUAACGCAUUAAGUGCCCCGCCUGGGGAGUACGGUCGCAAGACUAAAACUUAAAUGAAUUGACGG